UUCCGGUUGAUCCUGCCGGACCUUACUGCUAUCGGGGUGGGACUAAGACAUGCGAGUCGAGCGUCUCUAGCUAUGUUGAGACGCGGCAGACGGCUCAGUAACACGUGGCUAACCUACCCUCAGGACGAGGAUAAACCCGGGAAACUGGGGCUAGUACUCGAUAGGUGAGAAUGUCUGGAAUGAUUUCUCAUUCAAAGGGCUUUAGAAACAUGCUUCUAAAGUCGCCUGGGGAUGGGGCCGCGUCCGAUCAGGUUGUUGGUGAGGUAACGGCUCACCAAGCCUAUAACCGGUACGGGCCGUGAGAGCGGUAGCCCGGAGAUGGGUACUGAGACAAGGACCCAGGCCCUACGGGGCGCAGCAGUCGCGAAAACUCCGCAAUGCACGAAAGUGUGACGGGGCUACCCCGAGUGCCAUCCGCUGAGGAUGGCUUUUCUUUGGUGUAACUAGCCGGGGGAAUAAGGAGAGGGCAAGACUGGUGUCAGCCGCCGCGGUAAUACCAGCUCUCCGAGUGGUAGGGAUGAUUAUUGGGCUUAAAGCGUCCGUAGCCGGCUUAGCAAGUCUCCUGUUAAAUUCAGCGACCUAAUCGUUGAGCCGCGGGAGAUACUACUAGGCUAGGAGGCGGGAGAGGUCGACGGUACUUCUGGGGUAGGGGUGAAAUCCUAUAAUCCCGGGAGGACCACCAGUGGCGAAGGCUGUUGACUAGAACGCGCUCGACGGUGAGGGACGAAAGCUGGGGGAGCGAACCGGAUUAGAUACCCGGGUAGUCCCAGCCGUAAACGAUGCGGGCUAGGUGUUGGGGUGGCUACGUGCCACUUCAGUGCCGCAGGGAAGCCAUUAAGCCCGCCGCCUGGGGGAGUACGGCCGCAAGGCUGAAACUUAAAGGAAUUGGCGGGGGGAGCACCACAAGGCGUGAAGCUUGCGGUCAAUGGAUCAACGCCGGU
rnacentral:rRNA from 1 species